rnacentral:misc_RNA from 1 species
UAUAGUGGUGAAUGCAAUUCAGCGAACCAUCNUAAUCUUUGAACGCACAUUGCGCCCGCCAGCAUUCUGGCGGGCAUGCCUGUCCGAGCGUCAUUUCCCCCCUCACGCGCCCCGUUGCGCGCUGGUNUUGGGGCGCCCUCCGCCUGGCGGGGGGCCCCCGAAAGCGAGUGGCGGGCCCUGUGGAAGGCUCCGAGCGCAGUACCGAACGCAUGUNUCUCCCCUCGCUCCGGACGCCCCCCAGGCGCCCUGCCGUGAAAACGCGCAUGACCCGCAGCUCUUUUUACAAGGUUGACCUCGGAUCAGGUAGGACUACCCGCUGAACUUAANCUAUAUAACGGAGA